rnacentral:rRNA from 1 species
CUCGUAGGCGGUUCGUCGCGUCCGGUGUGAAGGUCCAUCGCUUAACGGUGGAUCCGCGCCGGGUACGGGCGGGCUUGAGUGCGGUAGGGGAGACUGGAAUUCCCGGUGUAACGGUGGAAUGUGUAGAUAUCGGGAAGAACACCAAUGGCGAAGGCAGUCUCUGGGCCGUUACUGACGCUGAGGAGCGAAAGCGUGGGGAGCGAACA